AGUAGGUGGUCAUGGACCUGUGCCCCGAAUCCUGUAAGGCAAGUAGAUGUGGAGUUGACAGGUCUCAGGACAGGAUCUUUCAGCACCAGACACAGGAGCUUCCAGCCUGCAGAGCACACGUCAUGUCUUCCUCGUGGAGCCCUCCUAGGGCAGACAAGCACCUGUGAACCAGAAGCGGUGGGAUUGGCAGCCUGUCUUUCUAGAACUCACUGAUAUACCACUGUGGCUGGCAGCCAGGCCUGGCUCGGCUAAAUCACAAGUCUGGCUGGAGUUCCCGACAUCUGUGUAUGCUCACUCCCACUUGGGAAGCAGCCUCCUUGGGCUCCUGAGUGUGAAGGCUAAAAGGUCAGCAACAUCUAAGAAGCUUGAAAACGCAGUCUCACCUGAGUUGUGCCGGCCUGGGUGGCAGACUUCUAGUGAAGAAUGCGAGAAAAGGUAAGUGGAUUGGAGAUUUUGAAUCAUGAGUGUUUCAGCUGAAAUCUAGAGGCUUUUCUUUUCCUCUGCUCUCUCAGAAAUGCUCUUGAUAAUUAAAAAUGUUGUUUUAAAAUGCUGUUGAAAGGUGGAGUGACUGUUGUUUACAGAGAUCCUUACAAAAUACAUCUGUGUCUUUCCUUCUGAAAGAAAAGGCAGGUUGAACAUAUAAUUUAGCACUGACAGCGUUUACAAACAAAAAUUUUAAAAUAAAAUGUGCCCUUUGGUUUGGUGUGUGUGUGUGUGUACAUAUGUGUGCAUAUGUGUGCAUAUGUGUAUAAGCUUGCACAUGCAUGUCUGGGAGACUGAGAGUUCUCCAUUCCCACUGCCAACUGCCAAUAAGCCAAUGUAGAGCAGAAGCCAGGAUGAAGAAGCAAAUCCCCCACAGAGAUGCUUGAACAGGUCUCCUGUGCCCUACUCGCAGACAGAUAGCAUCAUCUGGAAACCCAUGGAUCAAACAAAUAGACAGGUGGUCUGGCCCUGGUGGUAAUGGCUUGGGGUGUAUGAAGAACUUUGGAGGCACACCUAUCCUGCUUUCUUUAUUGUAUCUCUUACAUUUCUAAGUAAAUGAAGACCCAUCUUAAAAUCUCAUUUGAUUUAAGGGAAAGGAUUAAAGCUACAGUGGAUGGAAAGAAUCCCAGCACUGCCACCUCCACCUGUCUGGUCUGAAGAAGCCAUUCCUGGUGGCUUUGCUGUUGUUCUUCACGUCAUUGUUUCAUGAGAAGCGGGUGCCUCCGCAUGAGCAGAGUGACUAACCACUGAGUUAUUUUCCUUGUAGUGAGUUUAGUGUUUUAUGAGUCUCUCCACCUUAUGUCUCAUGAAUUAACCUCACUCCACCAUCUGAAAUAGCACAGUUUGAUC
ensembl:lincRNA A530006G24Rik RIKEN cDNA A530006G24 gene